rnacentral:ribozyme from 1 species
CGAGAGUGAGGUCUGAGAAAAGUCUGCUCGCCAUGAUGCCGGCGAUGAAACGAGAGUCCAAAGAAAAGACGACAACAACUAAGAAAAGAAAGUCGUCUGCUGGGAAGACCAACAGCGACGAAAUGCGAAAGAGGAGUAAG